GACGAACGCUGGCGGCGUGCUUAACACAUGCAAGUCGAACGGAAAGGCCCUGCUUUUGUGGGGUGCUCGAGUGGCGAACGGGUGAGUAACACGUGAGUAACCUGCCCUUGACUUUGGGAUAACUUCAGGAACCGGGGCCAAUUCCGGAAUGGAGCCUCUGCCGCCUGGGGGGGGGUGGAAAGUUUUCGGCGGUUGGGGAUGGACUCGCGGCUUAUCAGCUUGUUGGUGGGGUAGUGGCUUACCAAGGCUUUGACGGGUAGCCGGCCUGAGAGGGUGACCGGCCACAUUGGGACUGAGAUACGGCCCAGACUCCUACGGGAGGCAGCAGUGGGGAAUAUUGCACAAUGGGCGGAAGCCUGAUGCAGCAACGCCGCGUGCGGGAUGACGGCCUUCGGGUUGUAAACCGCUUUCGCCUGUGACGAAGCGUGAGUGACGGUAAUGGGUAAAGAAGCACCGGCUAACUACGUG
rnacentral:rRNA from 1 species